UACGUAGGGUGCGAGCGUUAAUCGGAAUUACUGGGCGUAAAGCGUGCGCAGGCGGUUAUGUAAGACAGUUGUGAAAUCCCCGGGCUCAACCUGGGAAUUGCAUCUGUGACUGUAUAGCUAGAGUACGGUAGAGGGGGAUGGAAUUCCGCGUGUAGCAGUGAAAUGCGUAGAUAUGCGGAGGAACACCGAUGGCGAAGGCAAUCCCCUGGACCUGUACUGACGCUCAUGCACGAAAGCGUGGGGAGCAAACAGG
rnacentral:rRNA from 1 species